AAUAUAAAUAUCUUUGGUUGGGGCAACCAUGAAGAAAAAAAAACCUUCAAUAAACAAAAAAAUUAACAAAUUUAAAAUUUAUAAAAAAAGAUCCAGAAAUACUGAUCAAAGAAAAAAGUUACCGCAGGGAUAACAGCGUUAUUCUCUUUGAGAGUUCUUAUUGACAAGAGAGUUUGCGACCUCGAUGUUGGACCGGGGCACCUGAGAGGAGCAAAAACCUCUAAUAGUAGGUCUGUUCGACCUUUAAAGCCCUACGUGAUCUGAGUUCAGACCGACGCAAGUCAGGUCAGUUUCUAUCUA
rnacentral:rRNA from 1 species